rnacentral:rRNA from 1 species
AUUGAACGCUGGCGGCAGGCUUAACACAUGCAAGUCGAGCGGGGUGAUGGUGCUUGCACUAUCACUUAGCGGCGGACGGGUGAGUAAUGCUUAGGAAUCUGCCUAUUAGUGGGGGACAACAUCUCGAAAGGGAUGCUAAUACCGCAUACGUCCUACGGGAGAAAGCAGGGGAUCACUUGUGACCUUGCGCUAAUAGAUGAGCCUAAGUCGGAUUAGCUAGUUGGUGGGGUAAAGGCCUACCAAGGCGACGAUCUGUAGCGGGUCUGAGAGGAUGAUCCGCCACACUGGGAGUGAGACACGGCCCAGACUGCUACGGGAGGCAGCAGUGGGGAAUAUUGGACAAUGGGGGGAACCCUGAUCCAGCCAUGCCGCGUGUGUGAAGAAGGCCUUAUGGUUGUAAAGCACUUUAAGCGAGGAGGAGGCUCUUUUGGUUAAUACCCAAGAUGAGUGGACGUUACUCGCAGAAUAAGCACCGGCUAACUCUGUGCCAGCCGCCGCGGUAA